rnacentral:rRNA from 1 species
UACGGAAUGUGCAAACGUUAUUCGGAAUCACUGGGCUUAAAGAGUCCGUAGGCGGCAUGUUAGGUGAGGUGUGAAAUCCUCCGGCUCAACCGAGGAAUUGCGCUUCAAACCGGCGUGCUUGAGGAAGAUAGAGGUGGGCGGAAUUGAUGGUGGAGCGGUGAAAUGCGUUGAUAUCAUCAGGAACACCGGAGGCGAAAGCGGCCCACUGGGUCUUUUCUGACGCUGAGGGACGAAAGCUAGGGGAGCGAACGGG